rnacentral:misc_RNA from 1 species
UUCGGUAUCCUGUGUUGCUUACCUAUCGAAAGGAAUCUGACGGUCUCACUCGUCCCUUUUCGCCCCCAGCCCUCGCGGGUUGCGGGGUGGACAUCAGGCACGCCCCGUGUUCUGGGCAAGCCGCUCGACUGCCUCGGCCCACGGUGUGCUCUACUCGUUCUCUCGGAUGCAGAACGUUACGCGUGGGCGUGGGGUCUUCCAGCUCCGUUUGCCUAAGCAACGCAUCUGUCCCUCGACGCGAACGACUGUCAUGCCCAUCUUGAGCCCGCGGCCUCACGGCCCGUCAGGUGUCAUGCGGGCAUCGGCAUCGUGAAGGAAUGUUACCUGGUUGAUCCUGCCAGUAGUCAUAUGCUUGUCUC